rnacentral:lncRNA from 1 species
AGUUUAUUAAGGAAGAAAAACUCUUGGCAAAGUUGGAUGUUGAGGCAGCAGAAAAGAAAAAGAUCCUAAAGAGAAAGCUGAAGGAAUAAUUACUGGAAAGAAUAGCGAAUGAAAAAUUAAACUUGUAGAAGAUAAAAGGAUUGAGAAGACAUAAUUUUGAUCAGUAAUAAAAACAGCACCAUGAGGAUCUAAGCUCCCCACACUGGGGAUGUGAGAGCUCUGUUCUCCACCAUGGCCAGACCAUAAAUCCGAGUGCGCAGUGCAGCAUCCAUGAACGAUUUCCUGUUCCAGCAACUCUGUGGGACAAACUUGCAGAAGUUUCUACACAAAGAAACAGAAAUCACUCAAGCCUUUAUGCUCAUGGAUUAUGUUUCUCUGGGCCCUUCAAGUGCACUCCACAAGUACCCACAAGAAGGUUGUAAAAAGCUGGGGGUCAGUCUCUUCACCCAGGUAACAAGUGAUAGAACAAGAGGAAGCUUUAGCUUGUGCAAGAGGAGCUUUUAUUGGCUAUUAGGAAAAAAAAAAAUUCAUGGAAAAUGUCAAGCCCUGGAAAGGACUUCCCAGGGAAGUAGUUGAGUCAGCACCCCGAAGAUAUUUGAAAAUGAUGUAGAUAUGACUCUCAGGGACAUGGUUUAGUCUUGGACUUGGCAGUGCUGGGUUAAUUGUUGGACUUGAUCAUCCUAGAAGUAAUUUCCAACACAAAUACUUUUAUUAUUCAAUGAUAAGGAAAAUAUUUGUUUCAUCAGUUUCAUUAUGGUAUUUCGAGGGACCAAAAUCACUUCAGUCAAUAGAAUACUGUUGAAGACAUAGGUCUUUGUUUUGCAGUAUAUUUUCUGUCAGUGCAAGUGUAUUGGUGGCAUGAGGAGAAAGGCAAUGAACUGAACGUGUUUCGUGAUGAGGAGGAAAAAAAAGAGAAAAUAUAGUAUUUCUAUGUUUUUAUCCAUCCACCUGAUGUUUUGAAUGAUUGUAUUGACAGUGUUUAUCUUUGAGAAGAGGAAUAGCUGAUCUCAUUAUAAAGUAAAAAAAUAAUUAAGGAUAUAGAAAUGGUGUAAUUAGUAUCUUUUGCCUUGUCUCAUUUUCAAAUAGCAGGCAAAUAUUGUGUCACUUUCACAGGUAGCACAAGAAAGGCAGAGAGUAAGAAAUAACCUUUUCUCACAGAAUAUGUAGAGCCUGUGAAAGUCUCUGACAGAUGGCAUUGAAGAGGUUAUCUGGAUUUGGAAAUGGAAGUAGAAGUUCAGUAACAAAAACAUCUACCAUUAGAAAAAAAUACACAUUUACUAUAACUGAGUUUGGAAAUAUCUUCCUUUUGGCUUCAUCGUGUUGUUCAGCCAAUAAAUAAUACAACCAAAGGAAUUAUUUGUUAAAA